UACGUAGGCAGCAAGCGUUGUUCGGAGUUACUGGGCGUAAAGCGUGCGCAGGCGGUGAUGUAAGACAGAUGUGAAAUCCCCGGGCUCAACCUGGGAACUGCAUUUGUGACUGCAUCGCUGGAGUACGGCAGAGGGGGAUGGAAUUCCGCGUGUAGCAGUGAAAUGCGUAGAUAUGCGGAGGAACACCGAUGGCGAAGGCAAUCCCCUGGGCCUGCACUGGACGCUCAUGCACGAAAGCGUGGGGAGCAAACAGG
rnacentral:rRNA from 1 species